rnacentral:rRNA from 1 species
AUUGAACGCUGGCGGCAUGCCUUACACAUGCAAGUCGAACGGCAGCACGGGGGCAACCCUGGUGGCGAGUGGCGAACGGGUGAGUAAUACAUCGGAAUGUACCCAGUAGUGGGGGAUAACUAGUCGAAAGAUUAGCUAAUACCGCAUACGCACUAUGGUGGAAAGCGGGGGAUCGCAAGACCUCGCGCUAUUGGAGCAGCCGAUGUCCGAUUAGGUAGUUGGUGGGGUAAAGGCCUACCAAGCCUGCGAUCGGUAACUGGUCUGAGAGGACGACCAGUCACACUGGGACUGAGACACGGCCCAGACUCCUACGGGAGGCAGCAGUGGGGAAUUUUGGACAAUGGGGGAAACCCUGAUCCAGCAAUGCCGCGUGUGUGACGAAGGCCUUCGGUUGUAAGCACUUUGUCGGACGAACGCGCUUCUAAUACAGAGCGCUAAUGACGGUACCCGCAGAAUAAGACACCGGCUAACUACGUGCCAGCAGCCGCGGUAA